rnacentral:sRNA from 1 species
GCUGGGUAUGGUGCAUGCCUGUAAUUCCAGCAGCCCGGGAGGCUGAGAUAGGAAACUGCAUGUUCUGAGGUUAGCCUCAGCAACACAGCAAGACCUUGUCUCAA